UUCCGGUUGAUCCUGCCGGAGGCUACCGCUAUUGGAGUUCGAUUAAGCCAUGCGAGUCGCGAGUCUUAGGGACUCGGCGUACCGCUCAGUAACACGUGGGUAACCUGCCCUAUGCUGGGGGAUAACCUCGGGAAACUGAGAAUAAUACCCCAUAGUUCACCACGCCUGGAACGGUGGGUGGACCAAAGCUCCGGCGGCAUAGGAUGGGCCUGCGGCGUAUCAGGUUGUAGGGGGUGUAAUGUACCCUCUAGCCCUCUACGCGUACGGGUGUUGAGAGACAUCGCCCGGAGAUGGAUUCUGAGACACGAAUCCAGACCCUACGGGGUGCAGCAGGCGCGAAAACUUGGCAAUGCGAGAAAUCGUGACCAGGGAACUCCAAGUGCAUCGGGUAAGACCGAUGCUUUUCUUGACUCUUCAAAGGUCUUGGAAUAAGGGGUGGGUAAGGACGGUGCCAGCCGCCGCGGUAAUACCGGCGCCCCAAGUGGUAGUCGCUUUUAUUGGGCCUAAAACGUCCGUAGCCGGUCUGGUACAUUCGUGGGUAAAUCAACCAGCUCAACUGGUUGAAUUCUGCGAGCACGGCCAGACUUGGGACCGGGAGAGGUGUGGGGUACUCUCAGGGUAGGGGUAAAAUCCUGUCAUCCUGAGAGGACCACCUGUUGCGAAGGCGCCACACUAGAACGGAUCCGACGGUCAGGGACGAAGCCUAGGGGCACGAACCGGAUUAGAUACCCGGGUAGUCCUAGGUGUAAACGCUGUGGACUUGAUGUUGGGGGCGCUCCGAGCGCACUCAGUGUCGAAGCGAAGGUGAUAAGUCCACUGCCUGGGGAGUACGGUCGCAAGGCUGAAACUUAAAGGAAUUGGCGGGGGAGCACCGCAACCUGAGGAUUGUGCGGUUUAAUUGGAUUCAACGCCGGG
rnacentral:rRNA from 1 species